rnacentral:rRNA from 1 species
UACGGAGGGUGCAAGCGUUAUCCGGAUUCACUGGGUUUAAAGGGUGCGUAGGAGGGCAGGUAAGUCAGUGGUGAAAUCCCCGAGCUUAACUUGGGAACUGCCGUUGAUACUAUCUGUCUUGAAUAUUGUGGAGGUGAGCGGAAUAUGUCAUGUAGCGGUGAAAUGCUUAGAUAAGACAUAGAACACCAAUUGCGAAGGCAGCUCGCUACACAAAUAUUGACUCUGAGGCACGAAAGCGUGGGGAUCAAACAGG